rnacentral:rRNA from 1 species
GGGAACCCUACCAGGGCUUAGAAUGUAGUCUGACAGGGCUGGAGACAGCUUUUUUCUUCGGACAGAUUACAAGGUGCUGCAUGGUUGUCGUCAGCUCGUGCCGUGAGGUGUCAGGUUAAGUCCUAUAACGAGCGCAACCCCUGUUGUUAGUUGCCAGCGAGUCAAGUCGGGAACUCUAGCAAGACUGCCGGUGCAAACCGCGAGGAAGGUGGGGAUGACGUCAAAUCAUCACGGCCCUUACGUCCUGGGCCACACACGUGCUACAAUGGUAGGUACAGAGAGCAGCCACUGGGUGACCAGGAGCGAAUCUAUAAAGCCUAUCACAGUUCGGAUCGGAGUCUGCAACUCGAACUCCGUGAAGCUGGAAUCGCUAGUAAUCGGAUAUCAGCCAUGAUCCGGUGAAUACGUUCCCGGGCCUUGUACACACCGCCCGUCAAGCCAUGGAAGCUGGGGGUACCUGAAGUUCCGUCAAACCGUUAGAGCGCGGCCUGAGGCUUACAGUGCUCCACA